AGCAAUAGUCUCUUAUCUUAAAUAAGCUAUAUCUGAAAUUGCUUCUAACAAAAAUAAUUAAAUGAAAUUAUUAUUUUUAUCGAAACAAAUUAACAAUUAAAUAUGUAAAAGCAACCAAAAUGCUUCAGUUAACUUGGAAAUUACGGAGUCACAAGCUUCUAAGUUUGACUGGGAAUUUUUUAAAGAUAGAGCGGCUUUUGCUACAUAUGUAUAUUUUUACAAAAAAAUUAAAAAGAGCAAGAGCUGCCGUCUUCACCGGCAGGGCUCGCAGCAGUGGCUCCAAUACUGUUUACAUGCCCAAAAUAAACGCGACUGGUAUUAUUUAAAAGUGGCUGCCACGCGCAGGCGGCAAUGAUAUAAACAUAUUUAUUUUCAAAAUUUUGUAUAUGGGAUAAAACUAUAUUCAUUUAUUUGUCACCUGCGUCUGUCAUCAAAUCGUUUUCGCGUCUUCACCCUGCAAAAAAAGAUAUAAAAUUGUUAAUAAUGUUAAAUGUUAAUUUAUUGAAUGUAUUUGUGUAAGUAUUAUUGAAUAUUUCCGAGUAGGAAGUUAAUAGUGGGUGAGAUAAGGAUGUCGGGCAGGUGCACAUCAGAAUUUGCGUGUUGGUAAGAACUCAUGAUGGCGAGGACUCCUUUAGGGUGAAUCUUAUCAUCAGUUCACCAUAGGCAUGUUUGCAGAUUGUCUGUUCGAAACGUAACCGAAAUGCAAUACACGCUCACACAACCUCCCAUUUGUUUUGAUGGACUUGCCAAAUUUACGUACAUAAAUGGCAAGGGAUUUCAAAAGUGGUUAAACCAAGGCAACGCAGUAAAUUUUUUUGAAAUAAUAGUGGAAGAUAUGUAAGGAUACGGUGAAAACUCUCCUGGGUGGAUGGCAACCAUCGAGUAAUUUUUUCCCGCUCAAGAAGAGUGUUCUUAUAACGGGGGUCGCCUCAUUAAUAUUUGUUCAUACAAAUGUUCGGCAAAGAGAGGUGUCCGCUUAAUUGGAGUAUUCGUAAGAAAAAUGUUCACUGAAUAACAAAUAAUGUGGUUAUUUUUUAAUUUUGGUUGAUUCUGAUUCAGUUAGUGCCACCAGUGCCAAUUUGGCUCUGCCAAGUAGGGAUGGGUAUCGGCAUGAAAUAUCGAUAUUGACAUUUGAAAUGAAUGAAAAAGAAUUUAAUAGCGCAAUAACUAUCGGCCAGGUAGCAUUGACUGUCAACAUAUUUCAGUAAAAUUAUGGAUACAAAGAUGACUAUGUCACUUAAUAUAUCUUAAGAAGCCGCGGAAAGUUCAAGAGCGACCCAAGGCGACGGCGAGGUCAAUGAAUGUUUGUGGCGACAUUUAUCUCUCAGAUGCGUCUGGCCGAGCACAAGAAAUUCUGCAUUUACGUUAAGCCGCCAGAAUGCGCAUGUGGUCGUGUAUUUGUUCAGACCCAUCAGCUGUUAUGGCACAUGAAUACACACUGGCAAACGACUUUAUAAUUUCAGGCUUGCAAGCAUUAUCGCAUAAAUACCAAGGAGAGCCUUUUCAAAUGUAAUGUGUAACUUAAAAUAUUUACUUAUUCAGAAAUUCCCCAAUACACACGAUUGAAAGAGCGCACGUUUGUGAUCUGUGAGGCAAAGGAAUUGUAGACGCCUAUAAAACACAGUUGUAUGCUGUGACGCACGAAAAGUGCGGGCCCUGGAAGCCUUGGACAUGGAGACGACAGGACGUAUUAAGGCUGACGUUAUUGUUAUUAUAUGAUGGUUAUUGGCUUGUUGCUUGUGGCUUAGGCCUUGUACAAAUAGUCUUAGCUUAUAUUUGAAAAUAUUUAAUAAGUUUUGUUCUUAAUAUUUUUUGAUUCAAAAUACAAAAAAUAUAUGUUAAAUUA